rnacentral:rRNA from 1 species
AUUGAACGCUGGCGGCAUGCUUUACACAUGCAAGUCGAACGGUAACAGGUCUUCGGAUGCUGACGAGUGGCGAACGGGUGAGUAAUACAUCGGAACGUGCCUAGUAGUGGGGGAUAACUACUCGAAAGAGUAGCUAAUACCGCAUGAGAUCUACGGAUGAAAGCAGGGGACCUUCGGGCCUUGUGCUACUAGAGCGGCUGAUGGCAGAUUAGGUAGUUGGUGGGGUAAAGGCUUACCAAGCCUGCGACCUGUAGCUGGUCUGAGAGGACGACCAGCCACACUGGGACUGAGACACGGCCCAGACUCCUACGGGAGGCAGCAGUGGGGAAUUUUGGACAAUGGGCGAAAGCCUGAUCCAGCAAUGCCGCGUGCAGGAUGAAGGCCCUCGGGUUGUAAACUGCUUUUGUACGGAACGAAAAGCCUGGGGCUAAUAUCCCCGGGUCAUGACGGUACCGUAAGAAUAAGCACCGGCUAACUACGUG